rnacentral:rRNA from 1 species
GUUUACGGUCAUACCACCCUGAACACGCCCGAUCUCGUCCGAUCUCGGAAGCUAAGCAGGGUCGGGCCUGGUUAGUACUUGGAUGGGACACCGCCUGGGAAUACCAGGUGCUGUAAGCU